UCUAUGCGCCUUAAAUACAUUUAUUCGUGCUGUUGAGAUAUUUAUGUACAGGCUACUGGUCAUUAACGUGUACCAGUCAGGAUAGUUCCUUUUUUGAAACUUUUCAUAGUAGUAACACAAUUUUUUAUUUUCUUAAUGAUGUGAGUGAUUAGGAGGAGCAACAAUUAAGAUACAUAUUUUCGUAUGCGCAUAGUUACUAAUUUCUGAUUUUUUUACUGGUCUAAAUUGUCAACCUUAAAUCUUCAUAUUCCUACAUCUGCAGUUCAACUACUAUGCUCAAUCCCAAUCUUCACUGACCAUGUUACUCCAUUUAAACUCGUGCCAGUCCAAUAUUUGAAGAUUUAAGUUCUCUAGCAAUAGAGGCUCUCUUUAAUUUCUAACAAGACUAAAUGACAACUAGUUAGUAUUGCCUAUGUGGACAUUUUUCUUCCAUUGAGCCUUAUUUUGCUCAAAGUCUGUAUAAAUUCCAAGAGAUUAUACGUCUUUCGAAACAACUUCUUUCUAUGUGAUUUUAGAUCACUUACUUUUAACACCUUCAUUACCAUGGUUUUACACGUACAAACCGAUGCAUUUGGAGGUCGAUAUAUGACAUGCCAAUACCAUCUCAAAUGACCUCCUCUCGUUUUAUCAUCUAUGAAUGCUUCUUGCACUUACUGUUGAACGUAAUCAUUUUUACUCUUGUAUGGUUUCAUAUCCAUCUUAUAUUCACAUCUGCCAUGCUAAUCUUGUGAAUAUGUUGGACCUUAGAGGUCCAAAUUCGCUCCUAUAUAACAUGGUUGGUCUUAUCAUUGUUCUAUACGACUUGUUUUUCACUUUGGUAAGUUACCUCCUAUUUCAUAACAUUCUAGUGGCACUUCUCCAUUUCAAUCAUGCUAUUUUGGCUCUAUCUGUAAGUCUUUAUCUAUUAUAACCAUUUUCUGGAACAUCAAGUUUAGGUAUCUCAAUUGCAAUUUGCAUGUACUUUGGUACAACACUUGAGUCUGAUCUUGUCUUACUUCUCUCUUCUUAUUCUGGCUAAGCUUGCGGGGCAUAUAUUCAGUCUUCUACUUAUCUUAAAACCCUUACUCUUUAGAAUGCUUCUCUAUAGUUCAAGCUUUUGAUUGGAACCUUCACUAGUUGCCAAUUAACACAAUUUGGUUUGCAGAUAACAUCAUGGGACCUAAUCAUGUAUAUUGUUUGUUAGCCUAAAAUAGCAUAUGUACUUGUCCCCGCUAAAGCCGGCUCCAACUCUCUUUUUUCUCUCUUAAACACAUCAACUUGACAAAAUGACAAAACUAAUAAGCGCCUCUAAUUGUUGGCCAUGCUUAUGUGGAGACAAUAUGUUUGAUAUGGCCAAAAUGUGUGCCAAUCACGCUCAUAAGGUACGUAGAUAUAGUGAUUUUGAUUUAAAGAGAACUAAAAAAGAAGAUUUUGAUUUAAAGAGAACUAAAAAAGAAUAUAACAGCAAAGAAAAAGACAACAACAACAACAUACCCAGUGAAAUCCCACAAUGUGGGGUUUGGGGAGGGUAAAUUGUACGUUGACCUUACCCCUACCUUGGAGUGUAGGAAGGCUAUUUCCGAAAGAUCCUCGGCUCAAGAGAAAGCAUGGCAAAAAGGUCAGAUAAGGACAAACAAUUCAAAGCAGUAUGAAAAUAAAAAUAACAAAAGCGCAAAAGCCACGAUAAAGCAGUCCGAAAAAAGGAGCUACCACAGAUAAAUAAGAUAAUCGAAGUACAAGAAACAACAGAUCGCAGCACAAAUCAGAGGACAAGAAACUAAAGAGCAAAACUGUGAUUACUAGUACAAGAGGAUAAGUGGAACUACCUACUAACUUUCUACCCUAGUAUGAGUCCUCCAUAACCUCUUAUCUAAGGUUACGUCCUCGAUGGCGGAAUCGCGCCAUGUCUUUGUCGAUCACCACUCUCCAAUACUUCUUCGGCCUACCUCUACCUCUCUUGAAACCGUUCAUAGCCAAACUUUCACACCUCUGCAUUUGGGCAUCGGUGUCUCUCCUCUUCACAUGCCUAAACCAUCUCAGUCUCGCUUCCCGCGUCUUGUCCUCCACCGAGGCCACUCCCACCUUGUCCCUGAUAUCUUCAUUCCUAAUCCUAUCUCACCUAGUGUGCGCACACAUCCAUUGCAGCUUCUCAUUUACUUUCAUCUUCUGAACGUGAGAGUUCUUGACUGGCCAACACUCCGUCCCAUACAACAAAGUUGGUCAAACCACCACUUUGUAGAACUUGGCUUUAAGUUUUGGUGUCACCUUCUUAUCGCACAACACUCUAGAAACGAGUCUCCAUUUCAUCCACCCUGCACCAAAAUAAAAAACAUAACAGCAAAGAAAAAGAAAAAAAAAAGAGAAGCCUGGUCCUAAUUCCACUAGGUGAUAGGGUCCAACUGUUGAAACUGAAGGUAUUCCCUCACUAUGUCUGAGUUCUUUCCCUAGUUACCUUGGUCCUUUCCACCUUUGAGAUGCAUUUGGAAUUUUUUUUUUUCUAAAGAAAAUAAUGAAGAUAAAAGAUGAGAAGGGAAUGUGGGCCAGUCAAAAAAAUACGAAGAAACAACAAUUCUUUUACUGUUACCAUUCUCCCAAAAAAAUAAUAAAAAAAUAAAUAAA